rnacentral:rRNA from 1 species
UUGAACGCUGGCGGCAUGCCUUACACAUGCAAGUCGAACGGUAACAGGUUAAGCUGCCGAGUGGCGAACGGGUGAGUAAUGUAUCGGAACGUGCCCAGUCGUGGGGGAUAACUGCUCGAAAGAGCAGCUAAUACCGCAUACGACCUGAGGGUGAAAGCGGGGGAUCGCAAGACCUCGCGCGAUUGGAGCGGCCGAUAUCAGAUUAGGUAGUUGGUGAGGUAAAGGCUCACCAAGCCGACGAUCUGUAGCUGGUCUGAGAGGACGACCAGCCACACUGGGACGGAGGCACGGCGCAGACUCCGACGGGAGGCAGCAGUGGAGUAUGGGGGACAGUGGGCGCAAGCGUGAUCCAGUCAUGCCGCGGGCGAGAAGAAGGCCUUCGGGUUGUAGACCGCUGUUGUGAGGGAAGAAAAGGUUCUGGCUAAUACCUGGGACUCAUGACGGUACCUGAAGAAUAAGCACCGGCUAACUACGUG